GUAGUCAUAUGCUUGUCUCAAAGAUUAAGCCAUGCAUGUCUAAGUAUAAGCAAUUAUACCGUGAAACUGCGAAUGGCUCAUUAAAUCAGUUAUCGUUUAUUUGAUAGUACCUUACUACAUGGAUAACCGUGGUAAUUCUAGAGCUAAUACAUGCUAAAAACCUCGACUUCGGAAGGGGUGUAUUUAUUAGAUAAAAAACCAAUGCCCUUCGGGGCUCUUUGGUGAUUCAUGAUAACUUAACGGAUCGCAUGGCCUUGCGCCGGCGAUGGUUCAUUCAAAUUUCUGCCCUAUCAACUUUCGAUGGUAAGGUAUUGGCUUACCAUGGUUUCAACGGGUAACGGGGAAU
rnacentral:rRNA from 1 species